UAUGGAGAAUUGAUGAACGCUGUUCAUCAAUAUAAGUUUCCGUGUUUCGUUUUGUUCAGUUUUGAGAGAACUAUCUCUCAUAUAUAAAUGUAUGUUCUUUGAAAACUAGAUAACAGUGUAGCUCAUAUUUUUUAAUUUUUAGUUUGGUUAAGUUAGAA
rnacentral:misc_RNA from 2 species